rnacentral:rRNA from 1 species
AUUGAACGCUGGCGGCAGGCCUAACACAUGCAAGUCGAACGAGUGGCGGACGGGUGAGUAAUGUCUGGGAAACUGCCCGAUGGAGGGGGAUAACUACUGGAAACGGUAGCUAAUACCGCAUACCAUCGGAUGUGCCCAGAUGGGAUUAGCUAGUGGGUGGGGUAAUGGCUCACCUAGGCGACGAUCCCUAGCCGGUCGGGGAGGAGGACGAGCCAAACGGGAACUGAGACAGGGUCCAGACUCCUACGGGAGGCAGCAGUGGGGAAUAUUGCACAAUGGGCGAAAGCCUGAUGCAGCCAUGCCGCGUGUAGGAAGAAGGCCUUCGGGUUGUAAAGUACUGUCAGCGAGGAGGCGUUACUCGCAGAAGAAGCACCGGCUAACUCCGUGCCAGCAGCCGCGGUAAUAC